AUGAAUAUAUUAUCUUGGAACUGCCAGGGGGCGGGGAACCGCCAGACAGUUCGCGAGGUGUUGGCCCUCUCUAAAGCCAAUAACCCCAAGCUUGUUUUCCUUUGUGAAACAAGGCAAGAUUCAGUUAAGGUACAGAAACUCAAGUGGAGACUUGGGUUGAAAGGAUUUCAUGGCGUCAGUAGUGAUGGAAGAAGUGGAGGUUUAGCAUUGUUUUGGGACGAGUCUCUAACAGUGACAGUCAUGGACUCGUGCAAUCGUUACAUAGAUGUCCAGAUUGUAGAUGGUGGCACCGGGGUCUCUUGGCGAGGGACUUUCGUCUACGGUGAGCCGAGAGUCGAGAAC
rnacentral:rRNA from 1 species